UACGUAGGGUGCGAGCGUUGUCCGGAAUUAUUGGGCGUAAAGGGCUCGUAGGCGGUCUGUUGCGUCGGGAGUGAAAACUCAGGGCUUAACCCUGAGCCUGCUUCCGAUACGGGCAGACUAGAGGUAUGCAGGGGAGAACGGAAUUCCUGGUGUAGCGGUGAAAUGCGCAGAUAUCAGGAGGAACACCGAUGGCGAAGGCAGGUCACUGGCCGCAACUGACGCUGAGGAGCGAAAGCAUGGGGAGCGAACAGG
rnacentral:rRNA from 1 species